AAUUUUUUGUAGAGAUGGGGUCUUGCCAUGUCACCCAGGCUGGUCUCAAACUCUUGGGCUCAAGGGAUCUGCCUGACUCAGCUCCCAAAGUGUUAGGAUUACAGGCGUGAGGUACUGUGUCUGGCCACCUCAUAAGUUGAAGGAAGUGUGUGAAUGGUAUUCAUUUUGUAUUUGUGAGUCAUGAUUUUACCUUUUCAAAAAGAUAUGUUAAUCCUGGUCAAUUUUACAUAAUAGAAAAUGCCAUGCUCAUUUAAGGUUAACAGCCUUAACUUAGAAAUUAUCCCGCCAAGCCAGACACCUUAGUCAACACUUCCAUCUGCAUGUGAAGGCAGACUCUCCCUUGCCUUCCCGGGCACCUUGUCCAGGAGGGUGGGGGCCUUAGGCUCUGCUUCUCCUCCUCCCCAGUGCCAGCAGCCUGAGGUCCCCAGGCCUGGAGCAGCAAGGGUGGAGGAGGAAGGAAAAGAACCAAUCCCCUCUGGGCGGGCCCAGCUGUGCCCCAGGCGCUGUCAUGGGAUGGCGCUGGCUUUGCUUCUCCGAGUCCACCCAAUGAGAGACCCUUGCACUGUGGCCCUCCCUCUGACGAGCCUUUGGGGCAGGAACCCCACCAAGAGCACCCCCGAUAAUGCUCUUUCCCAUGCAGCCCUGAACAGUGUGGGAGGUUCACCUCGAGAGAGGCCUGCACACUGCUCUCUGCAGGCCAGAGAGUGAGACCUCAGUCUGCACAGGCAACAGGUGGUGUCCCAGAACCUCUGCUCAGGCUGAGGGUUACCAGGAGCACCUCUCACUCUAGGCCAUCAUGUGGGGCAGGGAGGACGGGAGCUCUUUCCAAAGGAACUGCUACACACAUCCACUCCAGGGUGACAAGGCGUUUCGGGAGGUGAAAAGUUGGUUUUAGACACUUUCCUUGAAAUUUGCAUUCUGGUGUGGCACAGGGGUUGGCAAACUAUGGCCUGCAGCCUGUUUUUGUUAAUGAAGUUUUAUUAGAACACAGUCAUGGUCAUGCCUAUUAGCUUCCAUACUUUCUAUGGUUGCUUUUGCAAUUCCAUGACAGAGUUGAGUAGCUGUGGACUGUCUGGUCUGCAAAGUCCAAAUGUUUUACUAUCUGGCCCUUUACAAAAAUGUGUGCUGGCCAGGCUGUAAUCCCAGCACUUUGGGACGCUGAGGUGGGCAGAUCACAAGGUCAGGAGUUCGAGACCAGCCUGACCAAUAUGGUGAAACCAGGUCUCUACUAAAAAUACAAAAAUUAGCCAGGCAUGGUGGUGCGUGCCUGUAGUCCCAGCUACUCGGGAGGCUGAGGCAGGAGAAUUCCUUGAACCCGGGAGGCGGAGGUUGCAGUGAGCCGAGAUCUCGCCACUGCACUCCAGCCUAUAGGCAAUAGAGUGAGACUCUGUCUCAAACAAACAAACAAACAAAAAACAAAAAGCAAAAGACAGAAAAUGCCCAUGUCUGGUCUUUGCCCCUCACUUAGGAACUUUGAUUCAUUACAUUCUGGUUCCUCAGCAAUAAUUUCCAACAGUAGCACCUAGUGAAGUGUCAAUCAAUUUAGCCUGCCAGUCUUUUCUUUCUUUUUUCUUUUUUUUAGAGACAGGGUCUCACUAUGUUGCCCAGGCUGGUCUUAAACUCCUGGGCUCAAGUGAUCCACCUGCCUUGGCCUCCCAAAGUGCUGAAGUUAUAGGCGUGAGCCCGACAUGCCUGCUGCCUGCCAGUCUUGAGUAUUCUCUAUCCUCCUCAAUUACUCAGAUCCUAAGGAAAGGUAGAAAGCUGACCUGACAGAACAAAGUUCUUCCUCCUUAAGCUGUGGGGACUUGGAGGCUGUGAGUUCAUCCGUGAAACAAGGCCCUAGUGCAGCAAGGGACAGCUGGAAGCAGGUGUCUGGCCUUGGGGGAGCCAAAGCAGGUGGUGGGGACCUACAGGGACCCAGGGGAGGGCUCCAUAAGAGCUUCCAGCAGGGCCUGAGGGGGCAGGUGGGGUCCUCGAUGUGGGCCAGUUGCCUAGGGAGGAGGUGCACCCAUAAGGAAGCGUGUCCCUCUGGAAGCACAGCUCCCGUGUUGCCGGUGGGUGUGGGCGUGGCCAUGAGGAUGGCAGAGGUGAGCUGGGCAGGGAGAGGAUGCGUGUGCUUGACCCAACUGCCAAGGAACUGGCGUUUCUCUUUCACGGAAGCUGUGACGGCUCUUCGUUCCCUACUGGAUCCAGUUCUGCCUUCUUAUUCUGACUCCGGGUCCCUCCAUCAUCCGGCUCCGGGUGUGAUUACCCAUGCCACAGGGCUGCUACACGACUGAGUUCAUAUCUAUAAAGGGCUCGGAACAGUGCUUGCCAAUGAGCCACACUGUGUCGCACAACCCGAAGCAACACAUAAAUCAAAUAAGCCAAUAACUGGCACUGUGGAACACAGGCAUUCACCGCCGCCAGAACACACUCAGUUUUCCUGCCUUUGCUCCUCGGCCCCCUCCUGCCCCACAGGCUUCUCAAGUCCUGAUCCCUCCUAUGGGGUGCAGCUCACUCUGCCCUGAGUCCUUCCCAAACUGCCUCCUCUCUCCCGUUUCCGAGCUGCCUGGUGUGUGGCCGAUGUGGUACAUCUGGCGCUGAGUUCUGCCCACCAGGACAGACGACGGGAGAGCCGGGCCUGGACUCUCCCUGAGUUCCGGGCAGGUUUCCUCUGGUCUUGCUUCUCUCCAGCUUGAAGUUGUUGCUUCCUGUUUCCCAGAGUCCUUGGCUUUUCUGACCCAUUUCUUUUCCUGGGCUGACAAAGUUUACUACUGUCUUCUUCAGCACUGUUUGUCAUUUCAUGAGACAGCAAGUGAAGGCAGUUAAAGCCCAGGGCCACCAACUUUGCUGCCCUUUCUCCUUGACACCAACAGAGACUGACAGGGACCAGCACGGGACCAACAUGGGACCAGCAGAGGAUCAACGCAGGAUCAACACAGAACCAACAUAGGACCAAUACAGGGUCAACACAGGACCGACAUGGGACCAACACAGGGUCAACACAGGACCAACACGGGACCAACACAGGACCAACAUAGGACCAACACAGGGUCAACACAGGACCGACAUGGGACCAACACAGGGUCAACACAGGACCAACACGGGACCAACACAGGGUCAACACAGGACCAACACAGGACCAACAUAGGACCAACACAGGGUCAACACAGGACCAACAUAGGACCAACACAGGGUCAACACAGGACCAACAUGGGACCAACAUAGAGUCAACACAGGACCAACAUGGGACCAACACAGGGUCAACACAGGACCAACAUAGGACCAACACAGGGUCAACACAGGACCAACAUAGGACCAACACAGGGUCAACACAGGACCAACAUAGGACCAACACAGGGUCAACACAAGACCAACAUGGGACCAACACAGGGUCAACACAAGACCAACAUGGGACCAACAUAGAUUCAACACAGGACCAACAUGGGACCUGUACGGGAACAACACAGGAACAACACAGAACCUGCAUGGGACCCUGCCAACACCUCGUCCGCAUUUGCUUUUGUUUCUCCAGAUGCAACUGCAGUCCUGGC
rnacentral:lncRNA from 1 species